rnacentral:rRNA from 1 species
CAGGCCACUGAUCCUCCCGACCUCUCGAAAAAAAACCUGCGCACAACUCCACGCCCGCACGACCUUUCGCUCGCUUCUCCUCCUCCUAACUGACGCCCGCGCCGAUCCUCUGCCGCCCACCGUGCCGGUCGCCGGUCCUCCUCUGCUGCCCCAAGAACGCCGCCGGCCGCCGGUCUGCCACCGCUGCCCCAAGAACGACGCUGCCUAGACCGCAUGGCCCUGGCCAUGGGGGAUGCCGCCGCCGCCUGGCCUCAUGGCUGCAGGUCCCAUGGUUGUUAGAUCUAGGCCACACAUGAGAGUCACCUUGGCAGACUGGCGACCGCGUGGUGCCGAGCCGGAAGGAGGCAUAGGGCAGCACGUCACCGCAUCAUGGUGCACAAACGGCCUGCAAGGUGAGUGCCCAAGACAUACUAGCCAGUGCUGUCACCGGGGACAUGUACGCACGCGCAAACCACCGUUACCUCAGGUCCAUCCAUUCAUUGUGUGGUUUUGAGUAAGUAUGAAAUUCCGUCUCUUUCCAUAGAUACGAACACAUGCUUCGAUCUAUUUUCAGGAUAUUUUAUUCGGCGUUCGUGGUUAAUUCAAGGAGGACUCUGUUUAUCAGGUUAAUAUACAGAAACAUCAAAUGCAACAAAAUUUCUUCUCUAAUUCUGUAGGAUAUCAAGGCUUAAUAGAUCAUGUGUUGCUAUCGCAAAUUUUGAAACCAUCGUAUCUUUUUGGUCUAUCUACCAACGUCAUGGAACUGGCCCCAUAGAUGUAUACCUAUAUUGUUCAGAAAUUUGUCUCAGUACUGAGAUAGUAAGAUGUAAAUCUAGCUAACUUAUCUAUCUUCCAAGUGCCGUUGCACUGUUUAGUACUUUUGUUAACUUAACCUUUUUGGUUGCAAUGUGAUCUCUGUUAAUCACAUUAUGUACGCAUAAGAUUACUUCCGAUUUCGACCAAUCCUCUAAUGGCCACUGGUUAGUUCCAGUAUAUAUAAUGGCAAAUAUAGAAGUGUGCUUUACAAAACUUUGGCACCAUAUGAAUCAUGGUACAUGCACACAUGUUUGUCUUGGCAUCGCAGAGAUGGUGAAGCCCGGCAAAAUGGUUGUUCCUAGAUAUAUAGAAGUGUGCCUUACCAAACUUUAGGCACCAUAUGAAUCAUGGUACAUCCAAGUACAUGCUUGUCUUGGCAUUGCAGAGAUGGUGAAGCUCAACAAAAUGGUUGUUCCAAGAUGUCUCGAUGAUAGCUGCAAGAAAUUGGCAAGCAACUUUAUGAGUUCAAAAAUCCCUUGAGCUACAUGGCUAUCAAAUAAAAAAAGAAGCAUGUAUUUACAAGGCACAAUGUAAUACAAUUGGGCAUUUUGAAGUGGCUUCGAUCUCCGCAAGUGCAUGUUGAUUGUUGUGCUUGGGUAAGGCAUUCGCACUCCGCUUGUUACUAUUCUCCUGGAGGAUCCACAUCAACUGCAGUUCUUCCAUUGGGCAAACAACCUCAGGUAUGGAAAGACAGGUUUCUUCCGCUCGACUACAUCUCAUGUUGUAUAUUUCCUCAAUUCAUUUCCAGAUCCUAAUGAAUGGGAUGUAAAUAUGUUUAAUUCAGAAAUAAUGUUCUGCCUACUGUUUGGGUUAGUAAAAAAUGUAACUAAUUUAGCGGAUGGUGUUAUUUGAUGCCAUAUUAUUGGAUUUUUCCUCUGGUGUUAUGGAUAAUCUGAUCUAUAAUUUGUAUGAUGUAUAACCAUCAGUUCAGUAGAUGAUUCAUUUAUAUUAUUUCAAAGGUUUGGCAAUGAAGAGCCUGUUUUACUUAAUUUUUCUAAGAGGGGUUAAAGUUAUGAACAUGAUUCAUUGAAAAUUGGCAUAAGAACAUCAUGAAUUUGUAAAUAUAGGAUUUUUACUUUCUAGGUCUAUUUCUCUAUGGUCAUGCUUCUUAAUUCGAUUUUACCUUCUAUGGUUCAAACUAGACAAGAGUGUUAUCCUUUGUUUAGCAUGCCUUCUUUUCUGGUAAUUUUUAUAGAUAUAUCUGAAUUUUAGUUGAGUAAACAAGUAUGACUAAAAAUAAACUCAAACAUGAAGCAAAAGCUUUGCCGUUUUGAUUAAGCUUAACAUUGUCCAGUUAAUCAUAGAAUACGAAGCAAAAAUCGAAAAAUCGAAACCAAUGGGCAAAUCCCACUUCAGAACACCGUAAACACAUAGGGCCAUGUGUCGAAUGCCACAACAAAUGCCAACCACACAAACACACACUGGCUGGGAAACUUGCUACGUCGAACAAGCCGGUCUUCCAUCAAUACUGGAAAGAAGUCACGAGGCACUCUCACGUGGCGACGAAGAGACAAGCAUUCCACAUGCCUGCAAUAGUUGCAACCCACACAAUACCACUACUCCAACACACCUUGUGCACUCAACUGCUAUCGCUUCUUGGGUCGUCCUGACUUGCCAUUGCAGAGACGUGCGUUGCACGUGCAAGCUUACUAGUGCGUUUUAAAGAGAAUUUAUGCCGGCAUUAUUGUAUUAGUAUAAACAUAGCUUGUAAGAUAAGAUAGAACACAUGCUCUUCUGAAUAGAGCAGCAUCACCAUCGAUCCGUGCUCCGAUUUGCCACCAUGGAGUGACCUGGAAUUUGGUCGGUUGGAAGUUUUUGGAGAAACCGAGUUGAUGGAGAACCAGGGAAUUGGGGGUCAGCUGGAGACGGUUCACUUAAGUUUUGAUGAGG